rnacentral:rRNA from 1 species
CCUUGAUGUGUAGGAUAGGUGGGAGGCUUUGAAGUGUGGACGCCAGUCUGCAUGGAGCCGACCUUGAAAUACCACCCUUUAAUGUUUGAUGUUCUAACGUGGACCCGUGAUCCGGGUUGCGGACAGUGUCUGGUGGGUAGUUUGACUGGGGCGGUCUCCUCCUAAAGAGUAACGGAGGAGCACGAAGGUUGGCUAAUCCUGGUCGGACAUCAGGAGGUUAGUGCAAUGGCAUAAGCCAGCUUGACUGCGAGCGUGACGGCGCGAGCAGGUGCGAAAGCAGGUCAUAGUGAUCCGGUGGUUCUGAAUGGAAGGGCCAUCGCUCAACGGAUAAAAGGUACUCCGGGGAUAACAGGCUGAUACCGCCCAAGAGUUCAUAUCGACGGCGGUGUUUGGCACCUCGAUGUCGGCUCAUCACAUCCUGGGGCUGAAGUAGGUCCCAAGGGUAUGGCUGUUCGCCAUUUAAAGUGGUACGCGAGCUGGGUUUAGAACGUCGUGAGACAGUUCGGUCCCUAUCUGCCGUGGGCGCUGGAGAAUUGAGGGGGGCUGCUCCUAGUACGAGAGGACCGGAGUGGACGCAUCACUGGUGUUCGGGUUGUCAUGCCAAUGGCACUGCCCGGUAGCUAAAUGCGGAAGAGAUAAGUGCUGAAAGCAUCUAAGCACGAAACUUGCCCCGAGAUGAGUUCUCCCUGACUCCUUGAGAGUCCUGAAGGAACGUUGAAGACGACGACGUUGAUAGGCCGGGUGUGUAAGCGCAGCGAUGCGUUGAGCUAACCGGUACUAAUGAACCGUGAGGCUUAACCUUACAACGCCGAAGCUGUU